UACGUAGGUAGCAAGCGUUGUCCGGAUUUACUGGGCGUAAAGAGCGCGCAGGCGGUCGAGUAAGUCGAAUGUGAAAGCCCCCGGCUUAACUGGGGAGGGUCAUUCGAUACUGUUCGACUUGAAGGCAGGAGAGGGCAGCAGAAUUCCCGGUGUAGUGGUGAAAUGCGUAGAUAUCGGGAGGAAUACCAGUGGCGAAGGCGGCUGCCUGGCCUGUUCUUGACGCUGAGGCGCGAAAGCUGGGGGAGCAAACGGG
rnacentral:rRNA from 1 species